rnacentral:piRNA from 1 species
UUGGUCUCAUAGUGUAUGUCCUGUGCACCA